AGAGUUUGAUCCUGGCUCAGGAUGAAUGCUGGCGGCGUGCCUUACACAUGCAAGUCGAACGAUACAGUGGCAAACGGGUGCAUAACACGUAGGAAUUUACCCUCGUCUCGAGAAUAGCUCCGCGAAAGUGGAGGUAAUACUCGAUGGUAUACGGUUAAAUUUAUUUAAUCCGUAUUAAAGAUUUAUCGGACGUUGAGAAGCCUGCGGCCUAUCAGCUAGUUGGUGGGGUAAUAGCCUACCAAGGCAACGACGGGUAGCUGAUCCGAGAGGAUGAUCAGCCACAGGGGAACUGAGAUACGGUCCCCACUCCUACCGAAGGCAGCAGUUGGGAAUAUUGCACAAUGGGCGAAAGCCUGAUGCAGCGACGCCGCGUGAAGGAAGAAGCCUUUCGGAGUGUUAACUUCUUUGGUCUGGGAUGAUUAUGACAGUACCAGACGAAUAAGUACCGGCUAACUACGUGCCAGAAGCCUCGGUGAUACGUAGGGUACAAGCAUUAUCCGGAAUUAUUGGCAGUAAAGCGUGUCUAGGUGGUUAUAAAAGAAUUUUGUUAAAUCUCUGGGCUCAACCCAGAAAUCGCAGAAAAUACUCUAUGACUAGAGACCAAUAGAGGUGUAUGGAACUCUCGGUGUAGGAGUGAAAUCCGUUGAUAUCGAGAGGAACACCAAAGGCGAAGGCAAUACACUAGAUUGGUUCUGACACUCAAGAACGAAAGCGUGGGUAGCGAAAAGGAUUAGAUACCCUUGUAGUUCACGCCGUAAACGAUGCAGACUAAUUGCUGGGAGUAUUGACCCUCCUCGCA
rnacentral:rRNA from 1 species